rnacentral:rRNA from 1 species
UACGUAGGGUGCAAGCGUUGUCCGGAAUCAUUGGGCGUAAAGCGCGCGUAGGUGGCUUCGUAAGUCCGUUGUGAAAGUCAAAGGCUCAACCUUUGAAAGCCGAUGGAUACUGCGGAGCUAGAGUACGGAAGAGGCGAGUGGAAUUCCUGGUGUAGCGGUGGAAUGCGCAGAUAUCAGGAGGAACACCAAUAGCGAAGGCAGCUCGCUGGGACGUUACUGACACUAAGGCGCGAAAGCGUGGGGAGCGAACAGU